UACGUAGGUGGCAAGCGUUGUCCGGAAUUAUUGGGCGUAAAGCGCGCGCAGGCGGCCUCUUAAGUCUGAUGUGAAAGCCCCCGGCUCAACCGCGAGCGGUCAUUGGAAACUGGGAGACUUGAGUGUAAGAGAGGAAAGUGGAAUUCCACGUGUAGCGGUGAAAUGCGUAGAGAUGUGGAGGAACACCAGUGGCGAAGGCGACUUUCUGGUCUGUAACUGACGCUGAGGCGCGAAAGCGUGGGGAGCAAACAGG
rnacentral:misc_RNA from 1 species